rnacentral:lncRNA from 1 species
ACAUCUUAUAUCUGACCAUGAAUACAUUACUGUCUAUAUGUUGUGCACUGAUCUGGAUUCCAUGUAUGUAUCAGUUCUGCUUAUUAGUCAUUUAUAAUGUUUACUCAGUUUGUUUCUCACAUGUAUUUUCACUCUCCUAGAUGCUGAAUCUCAGACACUAUUGCUUACACCAUCAAACCCUGCAGUGAAUGUUGGACAAAGUGUAACUUUUACCUGUAACGUUGGAGUUAAGGAUGGAGACUGGGUGCAUUUAUUAAAACAGAUCCCAGGAGAAGCUCCCCAGCUUAUUAUUUACAAUCACCAUUCAUUUUCUUCUCCAAGAUAUGGACCUGGAAUAUCUUCAGAUCGUUUUACUUCCUCCAUUAACAGUGCGGCAACAGAAUAUUACUUUACCAUUCGUAAAACAGAAAUAGCAGACACUGCUCGGUAUUAUUGUGUGAAGUGGUAUGGCAGUAAUACUGGAUUCCACCGUGCUACACAGUGUGACAAAAACAUUGUACUAUAUUACAC